rnacentral:rRNA from 1 species
GACGAACGCUGGCGGCGUGCUUAACACAUGCAAGUCGAACGAUGAAGCCAGCUUGCUGGUGGAUUAGUGGCGAACGGGUGAGUAACACGUGGGUGAUCUGCCCCAAACUUUGGGAUAAGCCUGGGAAACUGGGUCUAAUACCGAAUAUGACCGAUACUCGCAUGGGUGUUGGUGGAAAGCUCCGGCGGUUUGGGAUGGGCCCGCGGCCUAUCAGCUUGUUGGUGGGGUAAUGGCCUACCAAGGCGACGACGGGUAGCCGGCCUGAGAGGGCGACCGGCCACACUGGGACUGAGACACGGCCCAGACUCCUACGGGAGGCAGCAGUGGGGAAUAUUGCACAAUGGGCGCAAGCCUGAUGCAGCGACGCCGCGUGAGGGAUGACGGCCUUCGGGUUGGAAACCUCUUUCACCAGGGACGAAGCGAAAGUGACGGUACCUGGAGAAGAAGCACCGGCCAACUACGU